rnacentral:rRNA from 1 species
GAUAAACGCUGGCGGCAUGCCUAAUACAUGCAAGUCGCGCGCCCUGCACAUUGUGCUACUCACAUCUGAUAAAUCAGAUUUAAGAGGAGCCUAGUGUGCAGGGAGCGGCGGACGGGUGCGUAACACGUUAGUAUCUGCCCCAAACUGAGGGAUAAGUCCGGGAAACCGGGUCUAAUACCGCAUAUGAUCUUCGGAUUAAAGCCUUCGGGCGGUUUGGGAGGAGCUUGCGUCUGAUUAGCUUGUUGGUGAGGUAAUGGCUCACCAAGGCUACGAUCAGUAGCUGGUCUGAGAGGAUGAUCAGCCACACUGGGACUGAGACACGGCCCAGACUCCUACGGGAGGCAGCAGUAGGGAAUCUUCCACAAUGGACGAAAGUCUGAUGGAGCAAUGCCGCGUGCAGGAUGAAUGCCUUCGGGUUGUAAACUGCUUUUAUGGGGGAGGAAUAUGACAGUACCCCAUGAAUAAGCUUCGGCUAACUCCGUG